rnacentral:tRNA from 1 species
GGAGAGUUGGCAGAGUAGGUCUAUCGCGCUCGACUGCUAAUCGAGAGUCCCGAAAGGGGCGCACAGGUUCGAAUCCUGUACUCUCCGCCA